rnacentral:lncRNA from 1 species
CAGGUUCAUUCCAUAAAAUUCCCAAUAUUUAACAAAAAAAGAGAGAAGAGUUUCCAAAUGCAACACAUUUUCUGUUUCAUGAGUCCAUUUGUCAUAUCAGCUUGGUGGUGCCAAUUCCAGGAUUAAGUCGCCAGUUCACAAGCAGGCAUCAUUAUAGACUCAAUGGUAAUGGCAUUUUCAGCUACAUAGAGAGCCAGCAAACUGUGAUUCCUCAACUGACCAAUUUGAAUAAUGAGAAGAACCUCCAUUCUGGCCAGGAACCUGAGACAGUCUAUGACACUGUGGAUUUUUUUCAGAUGAACAGUGGCUGUAAAUGCUCUUUCCAUUACUUGCUUCAAUCUACCUUUGUUAUUCUGCCCAGACCCCAUGCUCAGCCCUGGGAACAUGAAAAUCAGCAAGCCACAGUCCCUGUUCUCGCUCCCUCCCAGUCCAGCGUGGAGACAGAUGCAUACAGAGAUGACAGCACAAUGUGAUAAGGCUGUGUGAGCACCUACAAGGGAUGUGCAAAGCUGUCUGCCCACAGGAGUCAGACAAGACUUCUCCAAGGAGGUGAACUUGGAUCUCAGCCUUAAGAGAUGAGUAGAAGUUUGCCAAAGAUGGAGAGCAUCCCAAACAGAACAGAGAUGACCAGGUCAAGAACUUCACGGUGGCAAGUCCCUGGAUACCUGCUGGGCUGAGCAGAAGGAAGCGUCUCCCACCCCCUGCCCUGCUCAACUUCAAGUACUGGGAACCCCCAGCAACAGCAGUCCCACUGGCAGGCAGUGUCUGGAAUCAGUCCUGCUGACCCAAACCAGAUGUGAGCCAUAUUUGGGAUACUGUGUUUUGUACAAGAUCUCCCACCAGCAAAACAUUAUGACUCACUGAAGGCUCAGAGGAUGGUUAGCAUUUUUUAGCAAUGAAGUAUUUUUUAAUUAAGAAUCCAGCCUAGAAAGCACGCGAAACGAACACCGGCCAUCUGAAUUCAGCAAGCUCAUGUAUUUGGAUGCUCAAAAGCAGCAGUCAUCUAUCAAAGGAAGUGUAUUGGACUAAAUGGAGAGAUUUUUAAUAAGAGGCAAGGGGGUGCACU